rnacentral:tRNA from 1 species
UGUACCUGGAAUUAAAAGUAAAUAGCUAAGUUUAAGUGUAUUACUUACACUA